rnacentral:rRNA from 1 species
AAUGAACGUUGGCGGCGUGGAUUAGGCAUGCAAGUCGUGCGAACUUGGUUUCGCUUUCGGGCGGAACCAAGGGCAGCGGCGAAAGGGAGAGUAACGCGUGGAUCACCUACCCUCGGGUUCGGGAUAGCUGCGGGAAACUGCAGGUAAUACCGGAUAACGUCUCCGGACCAAAGGUGCGAUUCCGCCUGGGGAUGGGUCCGCGUCCUAUUAGCUUGUUGGUGGGUAACGGCCUACCAAGGCAACGAUGGGUACCGGGCGUGAGAGCGUGGCCCGGCUCACUGGGACUGAGACACUGCCCAGACACCUACGGGUGGCUGCAGUCGAGAAUCUUCGGCAAUGGGCGAAAGCCUGACCGAGCGACGCCGUGUGCGGGAUGAAGGCCUUUGGGUUGUAAACCGCUGUCAGAGGGGAUGAAAUGCCAGGGGGUUCUCCCCCUGGUUUGACAAAUCCUCAGAGGAAGUACGGGCUAAGUUCGUG